UGGGGAAUAUUGGUCAAUGGGGGCAACCCUGAUCCAGCCAUGCCGCGUGCGUGAAGAAGGCCUUAGGGUUGUAAAGCGCUUUCAGCGGGGACGAUGAUGACGGAACCCUCAGAAGAAGCACCGGCUAACUCCGUGCCAGCAGCCGCGGUAAUACGGAGGGGGCAAGCGUUGUUCGGAAUUACUGGGCGUAAAGGGCGCGUAGGCGGCACAUCAAGUCAGAGGUGAAAGCCCCGGGCUCAACCUGGGAAUUGCCUUUGAAACUGAUUAGCUAGAGUCCGGAAGAGGAUAGCGGAAUUCCCAGUGUAGAGGUGAAAUUCGUAGAUAUUUGGAAGAACACCGGUGGCGAAGGCGGCUAUCUGGUCCGGUACUGACGCUGAGGCGCGAAAGCGUGGGGAGCAAACAGGAUUAGAUACCCCCGUAGUCC
rnacentral:rRNA from 1 species